CACAGCUCCCCUGUGGACGGGCAGCCGGGCACACAGUGAGCGGUGCUUGGGCCGGACGUGCAGGGCCCUGGACAGGCUCAUGGGAUCACCAUGGCGGGCUGCAGUGGUGAAGCAGUGUUGGAGGCAGGCAGCAACACAGGGAGGCAGGACAGGCAACAGCUGGAGCAGGCGAGGGAGGCAAGGACAUUACCUAAGAGGAAAAAAACACCAUCUGUUUGCAGCCAGAAACAAUUUCCGACUGUAGAUGUCAUGAAAACUGGAAAAGAAUGUAAGGACCACCACGUGUCCUGAUGAAGAGAAGAUUAUUAUUUUACUUGUGAUGGCAUUAUAGAAAGUGGAUUGAUAUUAAAAAAAAAUUAAACAAAACAUGGUGGGUAUAUUCCUUUAACCUGAAGCCAAAUCAUACACUCAGCAUUGAUGUCAUAUUGGUGAGUCAUGUUUUAUAGGACUUAUGAUUCAAAAGUGAAAUUGUGUUUUUACAUUCUUAUUUUAAACUGUGACAUUCAUGAAUUAGUAAUUUUUUUCUUUAGGGUAAGGAGAAUAAAAGACAAUAACUCUGGAUUUUCUAGAAGAAAAUAAUGAAAAAUAUCCCUAUGACUUUGAGUCAUAAAAGCAAAGGAGCAAUUUCUGAACUUUUUUUCCAGUAACAUUAUUCAUGUAGGGUAUAAAACAUUAUGCUGUGGUAUAAAGUUCUA